CCCUGAGCACGCGGCCUUGUUACUCGAUCUUCCUCCACGUCGACACAAUACCACACCCAUCCCCCUGCCCUUCGCCGUCUCCCACCUCCACCUCACCUGCGAGCAGCGGUGCCUCCUCUCCUCCUCUGCUGCCUCCGCCGCGCGCAUCCUCCUCCCAUCCAUCUCUUCUCGGCCUCGGCGCCCGUUUCCUCGCUACUUCGCCGCCUGCGCCGAUCUCCAUUAAUCCAUCCAUCCCGCGAGGGGGAGCAGCGGGGUAGGGGUGCCGUCGUCCUGCCGCUUCCGCCUCCGGACUAGGGAUCAUGUCAGGAAGAGAUCGUCUGCCACGUCGCUUUAUAGAGGAUGGCAGGGGCUACCCUGACAUCCGUGUAGUUGAUGAACGUAGGGGCUAUCCUGACAUCCGUGUAGUUGAGGAUCGUAGGGGCUACCAUGGUAUUCGUGCCAUUGAGGAUCAUAGGGGCUAUCCUGACAUCCAUGAAGGCCUUGUCAUGAGGGUUGCACCUCGCUCUCACACGGCUAUGCCGGAGGAAGAAAUUGAGAUUCAGGGGGCCGAAUUCAGGAGGCUUAUGGCAGAUCACCGUGCUCUUGCUGAAGAACGUUUGGCCUUACACCGGGAAUUACAAGCUGGAAAAGAUGAGGUCCGUCACUUGAACACGAUCAUUGCAGACAUCAGUGCCAAGAAGGAAACUUAUAUCGGUGAGCUUGUUGACAAAAGGAGGAAACUUGAAGCUGAACUUAGAGCAAAUGAGUCUUUAAGAGAUGAGAUUGUGCAGCUUCGGGGUGAAAUUGAUAAGCACCUUGUAGUCAGGAAAGAGCUCUCUGCGAAGUCUGCAUCUAUCAUGCAUGAACUAACCAGGGAACAAUCUAAUAAACAGCAGAUUCCUAUGUUGAAAGCAGAGAUUGAUGCCCUUCGACAGGAACUUGUUCAUGCAAGGUCUGCAUGUGAAUUAGAGCAGAAAGGAAAUUUUCAGUUGGUUGAACAGAAGAAAGCAAUGGAGAAGAAUAUGAUUUCGAUGGCACAAGAAAUUGAACAAAUGCGAGCAGAAUUAGCUAAUUCCGAAGGGAGACCAUGGGCCCCAGGUGCGACAUAUGGGAUGAAGCUGGGCAGCCCUGAAGUGACCUUCCCUACUUCAUAUGGAGAUAACUACAAUAUCCAUGUGGGAGGUUCCGAGAAAGGUCAUUCACAUCUUCCUGAAUCAAGCUCAUGGGGUACAUAUGACAACAAUCGCCUUCAGUACCGUUAAGAUCGCAGCUGCUAUGAAAAAAGUCCGUGAAGACUUCUGGGUCCCAUGGUCAUAUCACAUGGUUUAGAUUAUCGUAUCUACCUCCUUUUUUGUGGUUGAAAUCAUUAGUUGGUCUGUCCCUCUGACUGAAGAUAUAUUGCAUUAAUGAGAAGACAGGGACAUCUGCUUGAAGAAAACAGUAAUACGGGGAGCUGCUGAUGCCGAAUCUUCUCUAGCAGAUCAGUUAUGCUUCUAGGCAUGUGCUCUUUGGACAAGCAACAGAUCGGCAUAUCUAAACUUUCUGAUCUCAAGACACGAAAAUGUUCCAUCAACUGGAGACACGAGCAAAAUGUUAAAUCAACCAGGAGAAUGCAUAAGCAUCUACAGUAUUAAUGCUUGAUGGAGAUGAAUGUGACACCUUCGGAUGAUUGAUUCAUAAGCAGGCAUUGUUCUUUUGGGAGAAAGGAUAGUAGAUAUUGAUUAUGUACUACGGAGCUGUAGAAACUUUCAGCUGCCAGCUUGUCAAGAUUAUAACAAGUUGCUCUCAUCGUGUGCUGCAUUCAGGAAAGAUGUGAGGCAGGAACUAUUAUAAGGUUGAACUGAAAGCCUUUCUUAACUCUGUUUGAUCGAGGCCAUGUUGUGUAGCGGUAUUGAUGAUGAUGGUUCUUAUGGAAAACGAAGAGACUAGGACAAGUUCCAUCAACCUUCUUGAUAACAAGCGGAUACUGUACCUGCUUCAUUUUGGUUAAGAGUGUUGCUUGAAAUGAAGAUCUCCCAGGUCCCCAUGUGAUAUCACAUCUUCUCUGAAGCUUGUAUAUAUAACUGAAAUGGACUUGUGUCCUGAACCGAACAAUUGUCAGCAUCAUGCCCAAGCAGAAUAAACAGAUUGGAGGAAAAACAAGAGUUCGAGGUGGAAGGAAUCUGACUAUGACAAGAUGGGCCUACACCUACCUAGUGGCUCAAGUCCAACAUCUCACUGAUGUAUAAGGUUCAAAACCCAUCGUAAACCACAGGCACGUGACAUUCUUCAUCCAAAGGAAACCAAGAGUUCCCCAGCCCCAGGACUGCAGAUACCACUUUCCAUGCGUUGUUUGUCCCUCCCUGCAUCACAUGCAAUCUGACAUGUUUCUGGGGUUGAUUCCGGUAUGUGGACUCCAUUCAAUGACUGUUUGUUUCCUGAAUCGACUGCACAAUUGUGGUUGAUGGAUGAUUGCCAGAACAAGCCGUUGAUGAGGAUUCUUGUGGGCAUACUGAUGGACUGGUAUUUGCAUUGCAUAUUGCAUAUGGUUCCUAGUAGUAGGAGGUUUGUGUGAAUGUUUUGAUCGGUGAGGCUGAGUGAACAGUAGAGUGUUGGUAAUCCUACGGCUUUCCCUCAUUUUAUGAUGGGUUGAGGUAUGGUCGAGUUUCCAUUCGAGUGAGUUUUCUUUUUUCUGGGUGACGUACUGACUUAGAUCAGUUUCAUCGUGUUUAGUUCCAAAAUAAUUCCUCAAA